rnacentral:misc_RNA from 1 species
GAAAUGCGAUAAGUAGUGUGAAUUGCAGAAUUCAGUGAAUCAUCGAAUCUUUGAACGCACAUUGCGCCCCUCGGUAUUCCGUGGGGCAUGCCUGUUCGAGCGUCAUCUACACCCUCAAGCUCUGCUUGGUGUUGGGCGUCUGUCCCGCCUUCGCGCGUGGACUCGCCCCAAAUGCAUUGGCAGCGGUCCUUGCCCCCUCCCGCGCAGCACAUUGCGCUUCUCGAGGCUGCCGCAGGCCCUGAAAAGCAGUGGCGGGCUCGCUGUCACACCGAGCGUAGUAGCAUACAUCUCGCUCUGGGCGUGCUGCGGGUUCCGGCCGUUAAACCACCUUCGUAACCCAAGGUUGACCUCGGAUCAGGUAGGAAGACCCGCUGAACUUAAGC